GACGAACGCUGGCGGCGUGCUUAACACAUGCAAGUCGAGCGGUAAGGCCCUUUCGGGGGUACACGAGCGGCGAACGGGUGAGUAACACGUGGGUGACCUGCCCUCAGCUCUGGGAUAAGCCUGGGAAACCGGGUCUAAUACCGGAUAUGACUCCAUGACGCAUGUUGUGGGGUGGAAAGCCUUGUGCGGCUGAGGAUGGGCCCGCGGCCUAUCAGCUUGUUGGUGGGGUGAUGGCCACCAAGGCGACGACGGGUAGCCGGCCUGAGAGGGCGACCGGCCACACUGGGACUGAGACACGGCCCAGACUCCUACGGGAGGCAGCAGUGGGGAAUCUUGCGCAAUGGGCGAAAGCCUGACGCAGCGACGCCGCGUGAGGGAUGACGGCCUC
rnacentral:rRNA from 1 species